CGGGGUGCACCAGGCGCGAAAACUUUACAAUGCGGGAAACCGUGAUAAGGGGACACCGAGUGCCAGCAUCAUAUGCUGGCUGUCCGGGUGUGUAAAAUACACCCGUUAGCAAGGGCCGGGCAAGACCGGUGCCAGCCGCCGCGGUAACACCGGCGGCCCGAGUGGUGAUCGUGAUUAUUGGGUCUAAAGGGUCCGUAGCCGGUUUGGUCAGUCCUCCGGGAAAUCUGACGGCUCAACCGUUAGGCUUUCGGGGGAUACUGCCAGGCUUGGAACCGGGAGAGGUAAGAGGUACUACAGGGGUAGGAGUGAAAUCUUGUAAUCCCUGUGAGACCACCUGUGGCGAAGGCGUCUUACCAGAACGGGUUCGACGGUGAGGGACGAAAGCUGGGGGCACGAACCGGAUUAGAUACCCGGGUAGUCCCAGCCGUAAACGAUGCUCGCUAGGUGUCAGGCAUGGCGCGACCGUGUCUGGUGCCGCAGGGAAGCCGUGAAGCGAGCCACCUGGGAAGUACGGCCGCAAGGCUGAAACUUAAAGGAAUUGGCGGGGGAGCACAAGGGCGAAUGCGG
rnacentral:rRNA from 1 species